UUUCCGUAGGUGAACCUGCGGAAGGAUCAUUACCAAAACUUAGCUGUCUGGCCGCAAGGCUCUGACGCUUCAACCCUUUGUGAACCAAAAAACCUUUCGCUCCGGCAGCCGCGCCGGUUGGGAACAGCCUGCGCUUCAGCCUGCCGUUAGCACCAAACAUCAAAACUUGCAGUCAAAAACAUUGUCUGAUACCAAAUUUUCGAAUGAAAAUCAAAACUUUCAACAACGGAUCUCUUGGUUCCC
rnacentral:misc_RNA from 1 species